ensembl:snRNA U6 U6 spliceosomal RNA
GCGCCCUCGCUUCGGCAGCACGUGUCCUGAAAUCGAAACGGUACGGGGAAGGUUAGCAGGGCCCCUGCGCAAGGAUGGCACGCAAAUUCCUGAAGUGUUCCAAAUAAAU